rnacentral:rRNA from 1 species
AUUGAACGCUGGCGGCAGGCUUAACACAUGCAAGUCGAGCGGGGUGAUGGUGCUUGCACUAUCACUUAGCGGCGGACGGGUGAGUAAUGCUUAGGAAUCAGCCUAUUAGUGGGGGACAACAUCUCGAAAGGGAUGCUAAUACCGCAUACGUCCUACGGGAGAAAGCAGGGGAUCACUUGUGACCUUGCGCUAAUAGAUGAGCCUAAGUCGGAUUAGCUAGUUGGUGGGGUAAAGGCCUACCAAGGCGACGAUCUGUAGUGGGUCUGAGAGGAUGAUCCGCCACACUGGGACUGAGAGACGGCCCAGACUCCUACGGGAGGCAGCAGUGGGGAAUAUUGGACAAUGGGGGGAACCCUGAUCCAGCCAUGCCGCGUGUGUGAAGAAGGCCUUAUGGUUGUAAAGCACUUUAAGCGAGGAGGAGGCUCUUUUGGUUAAUACCCAAGAUGAGUGGACGUUACUCGCAGAAUAAGCACCGGCUAACUCUGUGCCAGCCGCCGCGGUAA